UACAGAGGGGGGCAAGCGUUGUUCGGAAUUACUGGGCGUAAAGGGCGCGUAGGCGGCCUGUUAAGUCGAACGUGAAAUCCCCGGGCUCAACCCGGGAACUGCGUCCGAUACUGGUAGGCUUGAAUCCGGGAGAGGGAUGCGGAAUUCCAGGUGUAGCGGUGAAAUGCGUAGAUAUCUGGAGGAACACCGGUGGCGAAGGCGGCAUCCUGGACCGGCAUUGACGCUGAGGCGCGAAAGCCAGGGGG
rnacentral:rRNA from 1 species